AUGAGCAAACAGGAUUGCAGGAGUCAGCAUCAGCUCAGGCUUCCAAAGCGGCUUUCCAGCGCUGCAAGCAGCUGCUGCCCUCGGACACUGCCGCGAUGCUCAGCUCAGUGCGGAGCCACUUAUCCCACGAGGCAAGCAGCAAGGAGCACAAGCAUCAAGCUCUGGUUCUGCCUGCAGUUGUCUGUAUGGUUUCUGGAGCAGCCACAAGACAGGAUUCAGGAGAUGGGGUCAGCACCCAGCCAGCUUCUGCCCAUGUGUGAAUUCCAGCUCGUCAGAUCCUGCUCAUCUCGGGGCUCGCCCCAUCGCUUUCGUGCCCCACUUUGGUUACAGUGCUUGGACCAAGCUUGUCCCUGAUCAUUUCCAGUCCGAAGCACAUGUGUUGUGUAGGAUCUCUCUGCGGUGAGAGGAGGUGUAGACAGGACCUGCACAACUAUUUCAGGCUUCGAUGCCACAUUGCUAACAGGUAGUGAGAUAAAUCCCACAUUACAUUCUCUCUCCAGCCAGUGAAAACAGAAGGAUGCCUUACAGAAGUGAACUUCAGUCUUCAAAUAGCCUAACGCUUCCUGAAACUGCCCAUCUCUUGGUAUCAACUGAGAGGACAACUGGACUGGCUUGCAUCAUCUUAAUUUAGCUGCUUCCAUGAGGUGCCUCCAUUGCAUUUCUGCAAGCAGGUGUACCCUGCAAAACAACCUUUGGUUCAAGUUGGGUCCCCAAACAAUAUCGCAACAGCAAUUUCCAUCAUUAUAAACACAUACACAAUCGAAGUAAUGGAGAAUUACAAUAUAUGAAACUUAUUGUCUUUAGAGUAUUCCUCCCUUGUUCUCCAUGCUGAAAUUCAGUGGCUGGAUUUGGCCCCAAGUCUUCAGCCUGCGAUAGCUGAGCAGACAGAUAACUGCUGGAAUCCCUCUUGGAAAAUUUUCCCAUUUCUGAUGAACAACACGAACUGAUUUAGCUUGGAGUAAUCCACUGCCAAUACCCAAGGUGAUGUCCUUCCUGUGCCCUUGCUUCUGUCAUCCUGCUGAAAUGCAAUAAUGGCCAGCCACCUGCAACUUGUUUUGAUGCCGCUGAUAUUUCUUAUUCUCUUUGCUGCUGCCUGAGGGUAUGCACCAAUCUGUUAAUACAUAUAUAAAUAUUAUCCUUGUUAAUCCCUCAGAGAAAAAUAACAUCAACAAAACUUAUUACCAUUUCCUGUGUGGCUGACUGAAUAAUGUGAACCAGAUGAUGUUUAUAUUUAAAAAAUGAAAAU
rnacentral:lncRNA from 1 species